rnacentral:rRNA from 1 species
AUGGAGCCUUCAAGAAGGGACCGACGCAUGGACGCCGUCGCCAUCGGUCUGGCUCCGAGCCAGACGAGGUUUUCACCCCGGCCACCACCCUUAGCCUCCGUGCAAGGUAUGGCCCUACAUGAGAGUGCUGGCCGCACCACCACCGAGAUCGUCGAAGGCCCACCCCCAUGCCGCCCACGCGGCCAUGACAGCAAGCCCGUCAGCGCCCGAGCCACGAGCUCCGCCCACGAGCCAGCAGCUCCCACUACCAAGGCCGCCGCCUUGCAUCCAGACACUCCGGAGACCAUCCAAGGCACGAGCUUUGAGCCGACCGGCAAACCCCUAGCACCAUCGGAACCACCGAUGACCGACCCUGAUAAGGACAUCAAUACCAUUGUUACACCCACAGCCUCUGCUGCUAUACAUACUGGACCAAUUACUAGAGCUCGCGCACGCCAACUAAAUUACCAGGUACUUCCGUUUCUUGGUAAUGAUUCUAAUGUUCAUGAGAACAUGAUGCUGCCUAAAUUGGAUACAUUUGUUUUGCUUAAUAAUGAAGGGCCUAGCUUGGAGAAGGAUGAACAUUGGAGCAAGAGAAAGCAAGGAGAUGAUGGCAUGCGCAAGGGGAACAAGAACGGAGUUACGAGUGAUGAUUUCAGGUCUUUGAAGCCACCAUAA